AUUUCGGUAUGGGAUGGGGAUGCGUUCCAUUAGUUAGUUGGCGGGGUAACGGCCCACCAAGACAACGAUGGAUAGGGGUUCUGAGAGGAAGGUCCCCCACAUUGGAACUGAGACACGGUCCAAACUCCUACGGGAGGCAGCAGUGAGGAAUAUUGCACAAUGGGGGAAACCCUGAUGCAGCAAUGCCGCGUGGGUGAAGAAGCACUCCGGUGCGUAAAGCCCUGUCAGCAGGGAAGAAAAUGACAGUACCUGACUAAGAAGCCCCGGCUAACUACGUGCCAGCAGCCGCGGUAAUACGUAGGGGGCAAGCGUUAUCCGGAUUUACUGGGUGUAAAGGGAGCGUAGACGGCAGCACAUGUCUGGAGUGAAAUCCCGGGGCUUAACCCCGGAACUGCUUUGGAAACUGUGCGGCUGGAGUGCA
rnacentral:rRNA from 1 species